rnacentral:sRNA from 1 species
AUUCCUGAAAUUGUUCUUGGGUAACGUAUUUAACUUUCACAGGUGGUUUAAGUUUAUAUUUUCGCAAUUCAUAAGUUCAAACUCCAACUGUGCCAUCACCGUACUCUUCUUUUUCACCAUCAAAGUGUUCUUUUCCAAUUUUACGGAUUAAGGCUUUGUAUUCCUUUUCGGAAAUUUUUUCUUUCAUUAAGUAAUACCUCCUUUCUUUUUACAGAGGUUGAGAAAACUACUACUUGCAGCAGUGCUGCCAACUAAG